GCUAAUUCACUGGGGGCUGCCAAAAUUUUAGGCCACCCAGUGAAUUAAAUUGCUAUGUUAUUUUCCUUGGGCCAGUUCUUUUUGGGAAAAAUGCACCAAAAAUACUCUACAGCCCAAUGAAGGUGUACAAUUUUUCAGUUUUACUCCACUAUGCAUGCAAGUGGAAGUCAGCACUGGGGACACCUUGAACAUAGAAUUAAAAAGAGGCGCAGCUCAUUUUUAUUUUUCUUUCCCCCCAUUAUUUGCCUUCUGCCCUGGGACAUUGUGUCUCUUCAAAAAAACAAAAAUGCUUCUGUCCGGAGCAUUUGGCUAAAGAGUGCCAUGCUUUUUUUUAAGAACCCCUUUAUGGCUCCCAUUGACUUCAGAUAGAGCUGAUGCUCCAGCAAGCAUUUUCAGGUUGAAUAGAAGCAGAUAUCACCACUUUCAUGCAUUUACAUUUUAGGUGAAUGUAAGAGGCAGUUCUGGGCAUUUUUUCUGCCUGUUGAAAUAUGCUGGCGGAAGUCACAGUGAAGGAUAAGUAGUCUGCUUUUGAUUAUUAUGCCAGCACCAAAAAAACACAACACAAAACCUAUUUUUUAGAUAAAAGUAGGAGCUACUUUUCUACCAGUGUGGUGUAUCAUACACCUAAACUGUUUAAGUUGCAGUCCUUCUAGAUACAUGCCUCUACCCAUCUGACUGGAAUUUGUGGAAAGGCCAGAAAGUUCCCAGCCGAGAGGGAUGCAUGGCACCCAUGGGCUGCAUUGUGAAAAUUCCCUAAUAUAAAACCAGAGCCGCACUGGGACUUCUACCUGCCCAUUCUAAAGCAACCACAGAUGAUGAACAAGCAUAUGACGAUUAUGUUACUAAAGGCAGCAUAAGUGUGGAAACAACCACACAAGAUCACCAUAAAAAUGUGGAUGAUGUUACUGAAAGCAGCAGAAAUUUGGAAACAACAACAGUUGAUGGCCAAGAAAAAGAGGCCGAUGAUGCCAGAAAAAAUGAAAGUGUUGAAAAAGCCACUACUAAUGUGCCACUUCCAGUGCCAGCCUCCUCAGCACUAGACAUGAUGGAAGAUUUGUUGAAAGAUCUGGAUUUGGAUAACGAUAGAAAUGUUAUAAUAAUUUCAACAGUUGCCGCUUGUGGAUUUUUGCUAGUAAUGUGUUCACUGAUGUACUUGGUACUUGCUAUUUCAUGCCUAAAACAUAGGUAGGUGAUUUUGGUAUUAGGUUGGCAAAUAUUCCUUUUAAUAUUCACUUUUAUAUUCAUUUGUGUUUUCAUGUUCACUACUGACUUUUGCACCCCUUUCUUGAUUCUCAGUGAGAAUAGCAACAUAUCCCAUGUAUAAGAAGGCAAUUAGCUCAGAAGAUAAUGUUUAUACUGGAUAGGACACUAUAUUGAAGGAAUAUAGGGACUGGAACAAUGAAAUCAGACUAAAGUAAUGAAGGCAACAGCUUCAGAUCUAGUUCUGCUUUAGGGCUCCUGCAUAAGUCUGUGGCUCUAAAUGGCAACUACACUGAUUUUGCUUCCAGAAAGUGAACCUGACCUCUCAGGCUUUUCUUUAUUUUCAUCUAUUUUAGGCUUUUCUGUUAUUAUUAGCCUAAUCAAGUACUUUGAUGUACAGAUGUAAUAAAGAAGAAUAUAUGCUA